AGAGUUUGAUCCUGGCUCAGGACGAACGCUGGCGGCGUGCCUAAUACAUGCAAGUCGAGCGAACCAUUAGGAGCUUGCUCCUAAAGGUUAGCGGCGGACGGGUGAGUAACACGUGGGCAACCUGCCUGUAAGACUGGGAUAACUUCGGGAAACCGGAGCUAAUACCGGAUAAUCCUUUUCCUCUCAUGAGGAAAAGCUGAAAGUCGGUUUACGCUGACACUUACAGAUGGGCCCGCGGCGCAUUAGCUAGUUGGUGAGGUAACGGCUCACCAAGGCGACGAUGCGUAGCCGACCUGAGAGGGUGAUCGGCCACACUGGGACUGAGACACGGCCCAGACUCCUACGGGAGGCAGCAGUAGGGAAUCUUCCGCAAUGGACGAAAGUCUGACGGAGCAACGCCGCGUGAGCGAUGAAGGCCUUCGGGUCGUAAAGCUCUGUUGUUAGGGAAGAACAAGUAUCGGAGUAACUGCCGGUACCUGACG
rnacentral:rRNA from 1 species